rnacentral:sRNA from 1 species
UGCAUGGGCCUGGCUCAACCCG